UCACUCUACGGCGCCAGGCUGUCCUGGGUA
rnacentral:sRNA from 1 species